UACGGGAGGACAGCAGUGGGGAAUUAUUGCCACAAUGGGCGAAAGCCUGAUGCAGGCUAUGCCGCGUGUAUGAAGAAGGCCUUAGGGUUGUAAAGUACUUUCAUCGGGGAGGAAAAACAAAACUAAUAAUUUUAUUUCUUGACGUUACCCGAAAAAGAAGCACCGGCUAACUCCGUGCCAGCAGCCGCGGUAAUACGGAGGGUGCUAGCGUUAAUCAGAAUUACUGGGCGUAAAGAGCACGUAGGUGGUUUUUUUAAGUCAGAUGUGAAAUCCCUGGGCUUAACCUGGAACUGCAUUUUGAAACUGAAAUACUAGAGUAUCGUAGAGGGAGGUAGAAUUCUAGGUGUAGCGGUGAAAUGCGUAGAUAUCUGGAGGAAUACCUGUGGCGAAAGCGGCCUCCUAAACGAAUACUGACACUGAGGGUGCGAAAGCGUGGGGAGCAAACAGGAUUAGAUACC
rnacentral:rRNA from 1 species